rnacentral:rRNA from 1 species
UGGGGAAUAUUGGACAAUGGGGGAAACCCUGAUCCAGCCAUGCCGCGUGAGUGAUGAAGGCCCUAGGGUUGUAAAGCUCUUUUACCCGGGAAGAUAAUGACUGUACCGGGAGAAUAAGCUCCGGCUAACUCCGUGCCAGCAGCCGCGGUAAUACGGAGGGAGCUAGCGUUGUUCGGAAUUACUGGGCGUAAAGCGCGCGUAGGCGGCAUGCCAAGUUGGGGGUGAAAUCCCGGGGCUCAACCCCGGAACUGCCUCCAAAACUGGCAAGCUAGAGGAUGUGAGGGGAUAGUGGAAUUCCGAGUGUAGAGGUGAAAUUCGUAGAUAUUCGGAAGAACACCAGUGGCGAAGGCGACUGUCUGGCACAUUUCUGACGCUGAGGUGCGAAAGCGUGGGGAGCAAACAGGAUUAGAUACCCCCGUAGUCC